rnacentral:rRNA from 1 species
CCUACGGGGGGCUGCAGUGGGGAAUAUUGGACAAUGGGCGAAAGCCUGAUCCAGCCAUGCCGCGUGUGUGAAGAAGGCCUUCGGGUUGUAAAGCACUUUCAGUGGGGAAGAAAGCCUUGGGGCUAAUACCCUCGAGGAAGGACAUCACCCACAGAAGAAGCACCGGCUAACUCCGUGCCAGCAGCCGCGGUAAUACGGAGGGUGCGAGCGUUAAUCGGAAUUACUGGGCGUAAAGCGCGCGUAGGCGGUCUGAUAAGCCGGUUGUGAAAGCCCCGGGCUCAACCUGGGAACGGCAUCCGGAACUGUCAGGCUAGAGGGCAGGAGAGGAAGGUAGAAUUCCCGGUGUAGCGGUGAAAUGCGUAGAGAUCGGGAGGAAUACCAGUGGCGAAGGCGGCCUUCUGGACUGACACUGACGCUGAGGUGCGAAAGCGUGGGUAGCAAACAGGAUUAGAUACCCCGGUAGUC